rnacentral:lncRNA from 1 species
UGUCACAAUAUCUGAAGAAAGUAUUCCCUUGUCACCUCAGGCUUUGCCUCAACAUGAUCUGGGCACCUUCACCAGCAAAGGCACGCUCAGUUUCACCCUGCAAAGCUCUGGGUUCUCAUCUGCAAGAUGGAGAUAACACCAGUGCUGGGAAGGUUGAACGACAGAUGAAGGCACAGUGCUAAGUAAAGUGCUGGCUGCCAGAUAAGAGCCUUUGAUGGUUAAGACUACCUUCUCCUCCAUGAUCAUUUCCAUCUCUCAAACAACCAAUGCCACUAGAACCAGCACCUCCAUCAUCAUCUUUAUCUCCACCUUGGAUUCUACAACAAUCAUCCCCAUUCCAUCAUCAUUAUCACCUCCACUACUACUACAUCAUCAUCACCCAUCCAUCACCUCAUCCAUUAUCAUCACCACAAUCACUACCUCACUACCAACAUGCCCAGAGGUCAGAGAUUCAGGGAAAGGCUGACCAACACCAGAAGAUGUCAGAUUUCAACCAAUCCCAACCUCACAGAUAAAAGCCAGAAAAAUGAAGUGCCUUUCCCAGGUUUAUCUUCCAUUCAUCAAUGGAAGCUUGUACCACUUAUUAAACAGUCCAACCACCUGCCCCAGGAUAGAGAUAACUAACACACAGCUAAAAUUAACAUAGUGCAUCUAUAUCAC